ACUGCUGCUUCCCCUCUCAUUUGUCAUCCCAGGGUCCUGCCUAAUGUUUUUGCCACCGCCACUUUGUGGGUUGGAUCCACACGUGCGGGGCAACUGAAGGUUAUUAGCAGCAGAGGUGCAGCUGAAUUCACAGGGCUUCGGAUGUUGCCGUCACACUUCGACAUGCUCCUUGCACGCCAGCAUGGUUUUGACCAAGUCAGCCUAUAGCAGGUGGAUGUGGUCUGGCCCCCACAGCCCGCUUCAGUUUCUCAUCGGUUUUGGUAGCCCGCGGGCCGAUUUAAGGUGUGUUUUUACAACCAAGUGGCACCAGAGAAAGCAGAAGCCCAGAAAUUCAAAAUAAAAGGAGGUGCCAGGCUGGGAUAACUUCACGUUUGCAGCACGUUGCCUGGGAAAAUCAGGCAGUCAAGUCGGUGGUGAUAAAACAUUAAUACAACAAGCUCAUGCGGCUGCUGCCUGCUGGUGCCUUUUGAGCUCUCAGGACUGAACCCCACACUUUCAUUAUAAAAUUGCUUCUGAUCUGUAACAAAUGGGUUAGUGGAAGCAAUAUGUAGGUCGGGUGAUGAGCGCUCCGGUUUCAGCUCAGCAUGCUGCCUGCUAC